rnacentral:tRNA from 1 species
GCAGGACUAGUUCAAUCGGCAGAACAGCCGUCUUGUACACGGUAGAUGAAGGUUCAAAUCCUUCGUCCUGCU